rnacentral:rRNA from 1 species
AGGGAACGUACCUUUCGGUUCGGAAUAAUACAGGGAAACUUGUACUAAUACCGGAUAAGCCCCUUCGGGGGAAAGAUUUAUCGCCGAUAGAUCGACCCGC